CCAGCCUUCAAUGCCGAGGUGGUUUCCAAUUUUUCAAUGGUUAUAAAUACCACUGUGAUAAUCACCCAGUGGAUAAAUCUUUUUGUUUCUCCACCGUUACUUCCUCAGUGGGGGAAAGAAAAAAAGUCUCAAAAGUGAAUUUUCCGGGGUAAAAGUACUAUUUUAAAAUCCGUGUAGUUGCAGGUCUUACUGUAAUUUCUUGUGAUCCAAGCUGUCUUUAAGACCUGGGAGAAUUAGUACACCAAAAUAGAGCUGUUGGGCCAGAUGCAGUGUGAGUAAGAUUUCUGUUGUCACUGGAGUGGAGACAGCAUCACCCAGUAAAACACACCAGAAGCUCAGGGCCAGGAGGGCCGGUAAGUGGCCAUCGACUGUCACCGCCGGCGGUGUGUUGAAACAACGCGUGACCAGCUGAGGUGGUGGUGAGGAUGUCCAAGUCCCCGAGCUGCGGUGACGGCGGCAGUGAAGAUUGUCACAGAUCACCGGGCAGACGUGAUGAACAACUGACUCAGAUAAUAGGAAAGAACUGCCUCUGUGUUCCUGCUCCAGAAGAUGCCAUCUCUGCCCUUCUGAUGUGGUCCUCAACCUGAGAGAGAGAGAGACAGAAAGAGACAGAGACAGAGACAGAGACAGAGACACAGAGAGGCACAGACAGUGCCCACCCUGUGCUUCUCUAUUUUCCUGUCACAUAUGCACCUGAGGCCACGACCAAAGGGGUGUGGUCACUAACACAAAUUCACCGACAAGACGAGAGAUGCUACUACACAUGUGGGUGCUGGUAACCAAAUCCAGAUCCUCCGGAAGAACAGCCAGUGCUCUUAACCACUGAACCCUCUCCCCAGUCCCGUCCCAUAUGCCUUUUAAUAUGGGGUACCAGAAAAACGCCACGGUGGGGGGUCCUCUAUACCAGUUCCUUCCUGGGACUCUCUGGUCAUGUGCCUCUCUGAUCUGCUUCUUUCUUUGAGAGGAUACACAGGGAGGGCGUGGUUCAGCCCUGUGGAGGCUGGAUGACCCAAGCAGGGGCUAUUCUGGCAUCUUCUGAUGUGUGUGAAGGACUCAAGCCACGGUGACAUUUGUUCUGACCCUGACCCUGACCCUGACCCUGACCCUGACCCUGACCCUGAGCUGGCUGGCUGGUGCACACACCUGCAGCUGGCUUUCUGUUUCAGAUGUCUGCAGCUCUUUGGACAUUUGAUGGUCCUGGACAAUGGCCAAGACUCGGUCAGGAGGAGUGGGGCCCAACUCUAGAAGCUUGGGAGGGCUGCGCUUGGAUUCUCAAUGGUGGUCUCAUCUCAGAAAAGGUCCUAGUCCUCAGGACUUGAAAUCCCGGGUCCCAGAACCUCAGUGUGACUUUUCUUUACAGGCAAUGGCUUCGGGAGGUUGUCAAUAUAUAACAGUUCCUAAUACAAUGGGACUGUGUCCUCAGAGGAACAAGACUGUGCGGCACAGAAAGAUGUGUGAAUACCAGACAGAAGUCUCCAUCUGCAAGCCGAGGAUAGGCCUUAGGAGAACCAACCUGGACAUACACCAAGAUGUAGAAGAGGGCCUUCCUCUACUCUCCACAGCCAGGAGCAGACCCAAGUAACGCAGUGCCUGCUGCCACACCAGUCAGACAUUGCUAACUCCUGGGCACUUAGAUCCGUUAACCACCACCUCGGUUCCCCUAUAUUCCAAAGAAAUUAGGAGAUAGAGUCCCAAGCUAAACAUGGACUUAUUUAUAGUCUGGUAAAACUGGGGCAGGGGCACGGAUAGAAAUCUAGACUUCCGUCACCGCCUGAUACCCCUUCUUACAUGCCACAGAAGCCCCGAUGGAGUUACCCACUUACCGUGAGAUGGGUUAACAGGGGCAAAGGGGUCUGGGCAUCAGGUGUCCUUCAUCCAUAAGCUGCUCUGGUGGCAGCUUCGAUUCAAGUCCAGGCUGACAAUACAGAGUCCUCAAGCUUUCUCAUUUUGAAAAGGGACAAAGAUCCGAGAUUCUCACCCAUUCCAGGCCUGACAGAGUUCUGCGCCCCAGAUCUAGUCAUCCCUUUGAUGGCUGAGGUGUGGAAGCCUAUGGCAGCUUCAACUCUAACAUAUGAAUGCCUGUUAUACGCAUUGAUCUCACAGGUGAAAACUGGUGAUUGUCUGAGAGCCAUGGGGAGGUGCAUGGGUCUUUCUUUAGAACAUCAUCUGCCCCCCCAGCUGUCAUCAUAGAUGUGUAGAAUAUCUGUUAGUAGAGGAUGUCCCUUCUCAUCUGUUGUCAGCACAGAUAUACAGAAUACUUAUGUUAGUAGAGGUUAGCUCCCUGUAGCUGCUGUCAGUACAGAUAUACAGAAUACCUAUGUUAGUAGAGGAUACCCCACCCCUGUAGCUGCUGUCAGCACAGGGUCAGUGUUCACAGGGAACAUUUAUAGCCUUCAGCAAAACAUUAUGGUGACAAUGCCAGAGGACACCAUCCUGAGCAUUUAUGUCCCCAGCUUGUGGUCUUCUCCUACUUAUCCCCCAAUAAAAUAUCCUCUGUUGGA